rnacentral:rRNA from 1 species
UAAGCGGAGGAAAAGAAACCAACCGGGAUUGCCUUAGUAACGUGCGAGUGAAGCGGCAAAAAGCUCAAAUUUGAAAUCUGGUACCUUCGGUGCCCGAGUUGUAAUUUGGAGAGGGCAACUUUGGGGCCGUUCCUUGUCUAUGUUCCUUGGAACAGGACGUCAUAGAGGGUGAGAAUCCCGUGUGGCGAGGAGUGCGGUUCUUUGUAAAGUGCCUUCGAAGAGUCGAGUUGUUUGGGAAUGCAGCUCUAAGUGGGUGGUAAAUUCCAUCUAAAGCUAAAUAUUGGCGAGAGACCGAUAGCGAACAAGUACAGUGAUGGAAAGAUGAAAAGAACUUUGAAAAGAGAGUGAAAAAGUACGUGAAAUUGUUGAAAGGGAAGGGCAUUUGAUCAGACAUGGUGUUUUGUGCCCUCUGCUCCUUGUGGGUAGGGGAAUCUCGCAUUUCACUGGGCCAGCAUCAGUUUUGGUGGCAGGAUAAAUCCAUAGGAAUGUAGCUUGCCUCGGUAAGUAUUAUAGCCUGUGGGAAUACUGCCAGCUGGGACUGAGGACUGCGACGUAAGUCAUAGGAUGCUGGCAUAAUGGUUAUAUGCCGCCCGUCUUGAAACA